rnacentral:rRNA from 1 species
CAGCCGCCACGGGAAUUCGUAGGGUGCAAGCGUUAAUCGGAAUUACUGGGCGUAAAGCGUGCGCAGGCGGUUAUAUAAGACAGAUGUGAAAUCCCCGGGCUCAACCUGGGAACUGCAUUUGUGACUGUAUAGCUAGAGUACGGCAGAGGGGGAUGGAAUUCCGCGUGUAGCAGUGAAAUGCGUAGAUAUGCGGAGGAACACCGAUGGCGAAGGCAAUCCCCUGGGCCUGUACUGACGCUCAUGCACGAAAGCGUGGGGAGCAAACAGGAUUAGAUACCCCUGUAGUCCCUGUCUCUUAUAU